rnacentral:rRNA from 1 species
UAGCCCUUUUCUCUGGGACAAGCCCUGGAAACGGGAUCUAAUACCGGAUACCACCUUCACUGGCAUCUGUGAAGGUUGAAAGCUCCGGCGGUGAAGGAUGAGCCCGCGGCCUAUCAACUUGUUGGUGGGGUAAUGGCUCACCAAGGCGACGACGGGUAGCCGGCCUGAGAGGGCGACCGGCCACACUGGGACUGAGACACGGCCCAGACUCCUACGGGAGGCAGCAGUGGGGAAUAUUGCACAAUGGGCGAAACUCUAAUACAGCGACGCCGCGUGAGGGAUGACGGCCUUCGGGUUGUAAACCUCUUUCAGCAGGGAAGAAGCGAAAGUGACGGUACCUGCAGAAGAAGCGCCGGCUAACUACGUGCCAGCAGCCGCGGUAAUACGUAGGGGCGCAGCGU